UGCCAUAAAAUUUAUUAACAUUUAACUGCUUCAACUAAGAUGUGAAUCCCCAUCUUGGGGUUCAAAUGGAGGAGUGUCGCCCAUGAGACAAAUAGCCAACUGUGCUAUACAUUCAUUUCCACGAGUGUAAUAUUUAAACCUAAAUUCUAUAUUCCCCAUUUUUAUACAUACACACCACCACCAAUAACAAUAAUAAUAAUAUUUUUUUCAAAAUUGACAUGUGCCAAAUUUUAAUUGGCUCGACUACAUCAAAGUAUUUUUCUUUUCAUAAAUACAAAAGUAAACUGACCCUUUGUUUAGAAAUGUUUUUUAGAUCAAGAAACAAUCAAUGAAAAAGGCGGUCAAACAAAUUGUUUCUUGAAGAAUGAAAAAUGAAAAAAAGAAACAAGAACGUUGUUAAACAAAUCCCAAAUUGAAGUUUUGAAUCCUAUAAGACAUAAAAUUGAAUUUUAUAUUUAACCUACAAGUCAUUAUUAAUUUUUUUAAUAUAAUUGAGAUGUAUUAAACAUAAAAUUGAAAAUUUAGGGAUGCCUAAGAUGCUUUUUAAAUUUCAAGAACUUUUAAGACACAAACGGUAACAUCCCGAGUUCCAAGAAAAUUUUAGUUAAUUAUCUCAACUUAUUGAGUCUUAGUUUUCUUUAAUUUUUGGAAUUUAGGGUCAAAUUGAGAUAAUUGAAAAUUUUUAUUGGUUAAUGUGAAUUCAUUUGAGUAGAGAUUUGAAUUAAUUACCUUGAAAAUAUUGGUUUUAUCUCCUUUUAAUUUUAGAUUUUUUUUUUUGAGCUAUAAUUGAAUUAAUUGGAAAAGAUAAUUGGAUUAUUUGGAUAAAAGAUUUUUUUUUUUUUUGGUUUAAAUUUAAUGAAAGAUUUGGAAUUUUUUGUUUGAUUUGGUGAAGAUCUUGAGGUUUUAAGGAGGAAAAAGAAAAAAGAUUAAAUAUGUAUAUAUAAAUAUAUCGAGGAGAUGGAAAAUGGCUUUUAAAAUAUAUUUAUAUUUGUGAAAUUAUGAUUUUAAUGGAGUGGAAAUAAAAUAGUUUUUUAAUUUUACAGAGCCUCGAAAUUCGUGGAAAGAAGGAAAAAGGGGGUAAAAAGUAAAAAUAUUUUCCCCCUUAUUCCUCUUGAGCGUGCGUGAACCAAACCCCCCCCUUCCUCCCCCGUGUCUCCCUCUCGAUUUUCAGCCUCAGAUCAACGCUGCCACUUUCUUCUUCUUCUCUGGCCGCCGCUCGUCCUCCGAUCAACGUCCACAGUAGUUGCCGCACCCCGACCUUCCGGACGCUAACGCCGAUCUCGCUCGCCUCCGUCCACAGUGUCUAGCGCCACCGGUGAGCGCCGAUUUUUCUCUCUUCUUCAGAUCUGACGACGCCAGACCGCCCUCAAGCCGCUGCCUUAUUCUAGCCGCGCCGCCGUUCUGAUCGACGCCCAGCCUCAGAUUUCGCCGCUGUGCGUCUGCUGGUCUCCGCUGUCAAGUUCUCCAAACAUGACUUCGUUGGAAUCUUGAGUUUUUGGGGUUGGAUCAAGUUUUUCAUAGAAUUUCCUUUGCUUGAAUUUAAUUAAGGUAAGUGUCUUAGUACUGGUUCGCCUUCAAACUAAUUAUCCCAACUACAUGACAAUGCUUGGACUGUUUUGACCGCAAUGUCAUGAUAAGAUGGCUAAGAGCAUUCUAGUAAGUUUUUCUUGAGUUAAGUGACUAUGUUUGUGAUAAAUGAUUAUAUGUGGACUAACGCAUGCUAAGUUUCUAUGGUGAUUGUUAGCUUUUUUAUUCGAGCAAGUGUACACUUUACAACUGUUUGUAUGUUCCUUCGAGAUUCACACCCAUGACUGUUUAUGUGCACAUUUAUGAUUGUUUGUGUA